rnacentral:RNase_P_RNA from 4 species
UGAGCCGGCUGGGCGAUCGCGACUUUGCGUACCACAUGCGAUGAACAUGGUGGCGCAAGGACGAGGAAAGUCCGGACUCCACAGAGCACGGUGAUUGUUAACAACAACCCGGGGUGACCCGCGGGCAAGUGCAACAGAAAGUAAACCGCCUAGAAUUUUUCUAGGUAAGGGUGAAACGGUGCGGUAAGAGCGCACCAGCGAGGUAGGUGACUACCUCGGCUAGGUAAACCCCACUGGGAGCAAGGCAUUAGGGCGUACCGUCGUUUUCAGACGGUAUGUCUGCACGAACGCUUGAAGGCUGCUCGCCUGAGUUCGUGGGUAGCUGCUUGAGGCGGCCAGUGAUGGUUUCGUCCAGAUGGAUGAUCGCCACUGAUCUCCGCUUGUCGGGGGUGAGUACAGAAUCCGGCUUAUAGGCUGGCUCAUUCG